rnacentral:rRNA from 1 species
GGCUAUUAACGGCGACGCUUUCGAGCUUAGCUUUUAUAUCCUAUACACCUGUGAACUAUUUGCCUUUGGGCACAAACUUAAACAUAAUGUAAUGAAUGUAAACUAUUAUAACAAAUACAACUUUCAACAACGGAUCUCUUGGCUCUCACAUCGAUGAAGAACGCAGCGAAAUGCGAUAAGUAAUGUGAAUUGCAGAAUUCAGUGAAUCAUCGAAUCUUUGAACGCAAAUUGCGCCUUUUGGUAUUCCGAAAGGCAUGCCUGUUUGAGUGUCUUAUAAACCUCUAUCUAUUGUUUAUUCAAUAGAUAGCUUUGGGUGCUGCCAGCGAUGGCUCGCCUUAAAUGUCUAAGUGGAAUGCAUAAUAAGUUCUUGCAACCCUCCACUCUAACACACUUUAUAUUCUGACCUCAAAUCAGGUAGGACUACCCGCUGAACUUAAGCAUAUCAAAAGUGGGG